GGGGCUGUGCCUGAAAUAAAGGACCACUUUGAUGUAGUGAAUCAUGAAGGUUAAAGUCCUUCUGGCCCCU
rnacentral:tRNA from 1 species